CAAACGGAACGACGUCCGUUAACGGAAAAUUUUACCACCCCUUCUCUUCAAACUCCAAAAUUCGUAUCUACUUUUCUUUUAAAUUUCUCCACCGCUCUUCCAUGGAUCUAUCCGCCACCUGAUCCGACUUCCUUCCAUGUUUCAACCAGUCUCAUAACUCCUUCUCUCACUCUCUUGAAGCUUUCAACAAUGGCAGCGACUGAAACAGACUUUGAUCUCAGACCAUCUUCGCAGUCUAUCUACUCGGUCGGUGACUAUACAUUUGCGGAUGUCACUAACUUGGACCAUUGCGCUAAGUAUUUGAACCAGACGCUUAUCACAUUUGGAUUUCCGGCUUCGCUUGAUCUGUUCUCGAAUGAUCCGGUGUCGAUUGCGAGGACUUGCAAUUGUAUAUAUUUCUUGCUUCAACAGAGGCAGCGUGAUAUUGAGUUUAGGGAAUCUGCUAAUGAACAGCGACAAAGACUUCUUUCAGAUAUAUCAAGAUUGGAGACUAAAGUUGAGAGGCUAGAGUCAGUCAUACAAGCUAAAGAUAGGGAGAUUGCAACAAUUACACGAACAGAAGCUAAAGCUAAGGCAGCUUUUAAAGCUCAAAUUGACAAGCUACAGCAGGAAAAGGAUGAGUUUCAGAGAAUGGUUAUUGGCAAUCAGCAAGUAAGAACUCAACAAAUACAUGAGAUGAAGAAGAAAGAAAAGGAGUACAUCAAAUUGCAGGAAAGGCUAAACCAAGUCUUAAUGGAGAAAAAGAAAGAAUCUAGAUCAGGAAUGGAGAUAAUGAAUUUGCUACAGAAAGAAGGGCGACAACGGGGAACUUGGAAUGGCAAGAAGACUGAUAAUGAUUUCUAUAAAAAGAUUGUGGAUGCUUAUGAAGUAAAAAAUCAAGAAUUGAUGUCAGAGAAUGCUGAUUUGAAAGCAUUGUUGCGAUCAAUGCAGGUUGACAUGCGGGAUUUCCUAAAUGCUCCAAAUGGACUACAUAAGCAACCCCUCGCAGUUAAUGAAAGAGUUGAAAGUGAAGGUGCACAGUCUCCAUUUGGCGGGAGGACGGAUGUUUUUGACCUUCCAUUCCAUAUGGCAAGAGAUAAGAUCGAAGAGAGCCUUCGGAAUAAGAUGGCUUCUAUAAAGGAGCGGAUGGGUCAGCUGCAAGAUGCUCAGAAAGAAUCUGAAGUUACUUCUGAAGCUACCGAGAGGGAACUUGAGUUAGAAGCACAACUUGUAGAGGCAAGGAGCAUAAUCCAGGAGCAGGCAUCAAUCAUGUCUAAACAUCUUGCCAAGUCUGAGAGGCCAAGAAGUCUUAAUGGCCCUUUUGAUUCUGGCAGAGAAUCCAUCAUUUCAUCUCCCACUGAGUCUUUCCACAAUGUUAUGGCAUGAUCUGAAAGUGACCCAGGGGGCAUUCGUGAGGCUAAUAAAGACAAUGAAUAAUUAGGGAGUAGGAAACAAACAAGCUCAGCGGCUAUAGAGUAUUAUAGAGUUGAGUGGCGGCAGGGACAAGCAAACGAGUAAGACCUGUCUUGUAUAGCAAUUAUUAACCAAGUGAUUCAGGAGUUUUCUUCUACUUGUUUGAUACACACACUAAAGGCAUCAUAUGUAGCUCUAACCUUAAUUACUAAUGUAAUUAGUAUGUAGCCUUCUCCCUUUGAACUAUUAAUGCCAUUGCUCGUAGACUUCCCAUUUAUAUUAA